rnacentral:rRNA from 1 species
AGGUUACUGCUAUCGAGGUUCGACUAAGCCAUGCGAGUCGAAUGUAGCAAUACAUGGCGAACUGCUCAGUAACACGUGGACAACCUGCCCUUAGGACGGGGAUAAACCCGGGAAACUGGGUAUAAUACCCGAUAGGUCUCGAUUGCUGGAAUGCAUCGAGAUUUAAAGCUCCGGCGCCUAAGGAUGGGUCUGCGGCCUAUCAGGUAGUAGUGGGUGUAGCGUACCUACUAGCCUACGACGGGUACGGGUUGUGAGAGCAAGAGCCCGGAGAUGGAUUCUGAGACACGAAUCCAGGCCCUACGGGGUGCAGCAGGCGCGAAAACUUUACAAUGCUGGCAACAGCGAUAAGGGAACCUCGAGUGCCAGGUUACAAAUCUGGCUGUCGAGAUGCCUAAAAAGCAUUUCAUAGCAAGGGCCGGGCAAGACCGGUGCCAGCCGCCGCGGUAACACCGGCGGCUCGAGUGGUAACCGUUAUUAUUGGGUCUAAAGGGUCUGUAGCCGGCCGGAUAAGUCUCUUGAGAAAUCUGGCAGCUUAACUGUCAGGCUUUCAGGAGAUAUUGUCUGGCUCGAGGCCGGGAGAGGUGAGAGGUACUUCAGGGGUAGGGGUGAAAUCUUGUAAUCCUUGAAGGACCACCAGUGGCGAAGGCGUCUCACCAGAACGGACCUGACGGCAAGGGACGAAAGCUAGGGGCACGAACCGGAUUAGAUACCCGGGUAGUCCUAGCCGUAAACGAUACUCGCUAGGUGUCGGCCACGGUGCGACCGU